rnacentral:rRNA from 1 species
ACGAACGCUGGCGGCGUGCUUAACACAUGCAAGUCUAAGGAGAACGGAUUCUUCGGAAUCCUAUUAAACUGGCGAACGGGUGAGUAACGCGUAGACAACUUACCCAAAGAUUUGGGAUAACACCGAGAAAUUGGUGCUAAUACCGAAUAAUAUCACGAGAACCUCGGUUCAUGUGAUCAAAGGUGGCUUCGGCUACCGUCUUUGGAUGGGUCUGCGUCUGAUUAGCUAGUUGGUGAGGUAAUGGCUCACCAAGGCAACGAUCAGUAGCUGGUCUGAGAGGAUGAUCAGCCACACUGGGACUGAGAUACGGCCCAGACUCCUACGGGAGGCAGCAGUGGGGAAUAUUGCGCAAUGGACGAAAGUCUGACGCAGCAACGCCGCGUGAUCGAUGAAUGCCUUCGGGUUGUAAACCCCUUUCAGGAGGGACGAAGCGAAAGUGACGGUACCUCCAGAAGAAGCCCCGGCCAACUACGUGCCAGCAGCCGCGGUAAUACGUAGGGGGCGAGCGUUGUCCGGAUUUAUUGGGCGUAAAGAGCUCGUAGGCGGCUCAACAAGUCGGUCGUGAAGCCUGAGGCUCAACCUCAGGAUGCCGGUCGAAACUGUUGUGGCUAGGGUUCGGUAGAGGAGAGUGGAAUUCCCGGUGUAGUGGUGAAAUGCGGAGAUAUCGGGAGGAACACCAGUAGCGAAGGCGGCUCUCUGGGCCGAUACCGACGCUGAGGAGCGAAAGCUAGGGGAGCGAACAGGAUUAGAUACCCUGGUAGUCCUAGCUGUAAACGUUGGGCACUAGGUGUGGCGGACUCAUUGACGUCUGCCGUGCCGAAGCUAACGCAUUAAGUGCCCCGCCUGGGGAGUACGGUCGCAAGGCUAAAACUCAAAGGAAUUGACGGGAGCCCGCACAAGCGGCGGAGCAUGCGGCUUAAUUCGAUAGUACCCGAAGAACCUUACCUGGACUUGACAUAAUGGGAAAAACCCUAGAGAUAGGGUGUGCGGAAGCGUCCAUUACAGGUGGUGCAUGGCUGUCGUCAGCUCGUGUCGUGAGAUGUUGGGUUACGUCCCGCAACGAGCGCAACCCCUGUCCUAUGUUGCCAGCGGAUAAUGCCGGGGACUCAUGGGAGACUGCCGGGGACAACUCGGAGGAAGGCGGGGAUGACGUCAAGUCAUCAUGCCCCUUAUGUUCAGGGCUGCACGCAUGCUACAAUGGGUGAUACAACGGGCAGCGAUCCGGCAACGGUGAGCGAAUCCUGAAAGCCUGUCUCAGUUCGGAUCGGAGUCUGCAACUCGACUCCGUGAAGCCGGAGUCGCUAGUAAUCGCGAAUCAGCUAUGUCGCGGUGAAUACGUUCUCGGGCUUUGUACUCACCGCCCGUCAA